GCGUUAAUCGGAAUUACUGGGCGUAAAGCGUGCGCAGGCGGUUGUGUAAGACAGGUGUGAAAUCCCCGGGCUUAACCUGGGAACUGCGCUUGUGACUGCACAGCUAGAGUAUGGCAGAGGGGGGUGGAAUUCCACGUGUAGCAGUGAAAUGCGUAGAGAUGUGGAGGAACACCGAUGGCGAAGGCAGCCCCCUGGGCCAAUACUGACGCUCAUGCACGAAAGCGUG
rnacentral:rRNA from 1 species